rnacentral:rRNA from 1 species
AUUGAACGCUGGCGGCAGGCCUAACACAUGCAAGUCGAGCGGAUGAAGGGAGCUUGCUCCUGGAUUCAGCGGCGGACGGGUGAGUAAUGCCUAGGAAUCUGCCUGGUAGUGGGGGAUAACGUCCGGAAACGGGCGCUAAUACCGCAUACGUCCUGAGGGAGAAAGUGGGGGAUCUUCGGACCUCACGCUAUCAGAUGAGCCUAGGUCGGAUUAGCUAGUUGGUGGGGUAAAGGCCUACUAAGGCGACGAUCCGUAACUGGUCUGAGAGGAUGAUCAGUCACACUGGAACUGAGACACGGUCCAGACUCCUACGGGAGGCAGGAGUGGGGAAUAUUGGACAAUGGGCGAAAGCCUGAUCCAGCCAUGCCGCGUGUGUGAAGAAGGUCUUCGGAUUGUAAAGCACUUUAAGUUGGGAGGAAGGGCAGUAAGUUAAUACCUUGCUGUUUUGACGUUACCAACAGAAUAAGCACCGGCUAACUUCGUG